UGACACAAUUCACUUCCUGUUGCUUGCAGAUCAAUAUGUAGGACUCUCAGCUCUUUCUCCAGCACUAUGUCUGCCUCGUGCUGCCAGGUCCUGCCAUGAGGAUAAUGGAAAAAACCUCUGAAACUUCAAAAGCAAGCCUCCUUGGACACAGAAAAUGUUUGGUUUGACUGAAAAAGAGAUCCUUUGGUUCUUCACAACUCCCUAAUCAAACAUCCAACUUGAAAGCCAGAAAGAAGAGAUUGUGGAGUAGACAGAACCAGACAUUAGCUAUGAAAACACAAUAGUGUUGCUGAUAGCAAAUGAAUGUAGACACAAUGAAUACAUAUGUGUCACACAAGGAGAGAGAUCCAUGAAAUC
rnacentral:lncRNA from 1 species